GCAAGUACAUAAAUACAAGACAGCUUCCCUCAGAGGACUCUGUGGCUAUCUAUCUGAGUGACUGUACCUUAGGGAAAGAAUAGUCAGGUAUUUUGAAGAAUGUUGAUCACAGGAUCAGCACUGAUGUUUGUAUUCAGAGAUCUAAAGCAGCAUCACAGCCUUCCUGUUAGAAUGGGGGUCUACCAGACCAGGUUUCCAGCUCGAGUAGUUUCCCGGUGGGCCCACUGGAUCCGUGGACCCACGGAAGAGUCACUUCCUAGUCCCCAGUGCAUAAUUGAAAUUGCUAUUUGUGGCAGUUGGAUAACCGCUGCACUGGGUUCCUGGUCUGUGGAGGUGGGAGUUACCAUAGCAUGGCUUGCCAAGGGGAACCCUCCGAAACCUUCCGUCACUCCUGCCAAGACGUCUGGUCCCUAAAUAAACUGGAUGGAUCCUGAAGAAUUACUAUAGACUACUGCAGACUUAACCAAGUAAUGGCCUUCAUCACAGCAGGCGUUCUAUGGUGGAACUCACUGUUAGAACAGAUUUAAUAAGGGCUCAGAUACGUGGUACAUCACUGAUUUGGCAAUACCUUAUUUUUUUUUUUUUUGGCAUUCUAAUUGGAAUAGAGGAUCAGAAACAAUUCACUUUCACUAAGAACAGUGACUUGAGUUUUGCCUUGGGGCUAUAUUAACUCUCCCAUUCUCAGUCAUAAUAUGAACCACUUCAAUAUCCCUCAGAACACUACAUAGGUCCAUUUUUAUUGACAACAUCAUGCUGAUUGGACAGAUAAGCAAAAGGUGGCUGGCAUGCCAAAGACCAUGGUAAGAUAGAGGCACUCCAGAGCAUGGGAGAUAAACACAAAGCUCCAGGAACCAGAUAUUUCAGUAAAGUGUUUAGAGGUCCAGUGGUCAGAGGAGUGCCAGGACAUCCCCUCCAAAAUGAAAGCCAAAUUGCUGCGUCUUGCAGCCUUAACCACAAAGAAGGAAGUAGGAACUUUCUAGGCCUCUUUUGCUUCUGGGAUCAACACAUUCUACAACUGGGAAUAACGCUCUGGCUCAUGUGCCAGGUGACAAGGAAGGGGGCCAGCUUUGAAUAGGGCUGAAAACAGAAAAGGGCUCUGUGACAGUUCCUGGCUUCACUGUAAGCAGCCCUGACUAACAUUUGGACCAUACGAUCCAGCAGAUCCUGGUGGAAUCCGUGAUGGGAAAAGAUGCAGUUGGAAUUUAUGGCAAGUCUACUGGAAGAAUCAUGACACAGACCCUUGGGAUUCUGAAGCACAGUCAUGCCAUCUGCAGCAGAUAAUUGCUGCCCAUUGAGAAACAGCUCUUGGCCUAUCACUGUGCCCUGUAGAGACUGAUCAUUUGACCACUGGACAGUAAACCUAUCCAUUCCCUCAGACCCUUUUCAGCUGAGUGACCGGAUUUGCUAACUCCCACCAUUCCGGCUGUAUUUGUUGACAUUCUAAUAAAC
ensembl:lncRNA